GCGCACACUUUGAAUCAGUUUGUAUUUGUUGCUCAAUUUAAAAGGUGAUUUUAGAAGCGGAGGCUGUUUCGGGUGCGCAACAGUUGUAUUUUUUCCCUGCAAGUGCACAAGACUGGGACUUGCUUCCAGUUUGAAUUUACCUUCAAAGCCAGGAUUCGGGACGCGUUCCUUUAAGUACGAGGGCGUGGGCGUACGUGUAUGAGUGCGAGUGCCGUGUGCGUGUCUCGCGCGGCGUGUGUGUGAGCGCGAUUUAAAAAUAAAACGGCAAAUACAUAACAAAUUAUCGAAGAGCAACAGCAGCGGCGGCAGCGAACGAACCAAUACAAACACCAGCCGUGUGUGUUUACACUUUGUUGUGCGUUGGUGUUUGUGUACCAAAGUUCCCUCCUAACCAUACUAAAAAAUCAAACAAAAUCAGACAAACACGAUAUCGAUUGCAUGUAUGCGAGUGCAUUUUAUGGACGCCUUAGACUGUGGAAGUUACCCGGAGCUUAACCGGGUCAAGAGCCUGUUUCAGGACAGAAAUUGAAAUUGAUACAGAAACUGAAUCAGAAUCCGCACCAGAGAAAAACCAAGCCCCCAGACAGUUGCACAGAUCACCAACACUUCCAUUCAGCAUUCAGCUGUCCCAGCUAAGCAUCCACACUCACAAUACCAUCAUCAUCCAUCCGGGUAGAUCAAGAGCAUGAGCCUGUGGAAGCGCAUUUCCAGCCAUGCCGACUGCGAGCAGCGUAUGGCGGCCCACUACGAUGAGAAGGGUCUCUUUGACCUGCGCAUCUGCUUGGCGCCCUGGAUCGAAGACAGGAUAAUGUCUGAGCAGAUCACACCCAACUCCACAGAACAGCUAGAGCGCGUGGCACACAAAUUUCACGAAGAUUUGCAACAGAAGCUUCUCUCCACGCGUACCGCCAGCGAUCAGGCACUGAAAUACCGUGUGGUGGAGCUCUGCGCCCUCAUCCAACGCACCUCCGCCGUCGAGCUAUAUACGCAUCUGCGCAGCGGCCUCCAGAAGGAACUGCAGCUGGCCACAGAAAAGAGCGUGGCAUCCACAGCAGGCCAAUCUAUGCCGCUCAAUUCGUACAACAUGAACGCCGCCGCCAUGGCCACAGGCGGCUACAUGGACACCAAUGAGAUCUUGGGCGUCACCAACAGUUGCAAUCCUGUCCAAAACAUGAGUGUCAUGCCGUGCACUGUGCAGAACCCAGGCAUUGCGUCUCCCGCUUUAGGAAUGGCUGCACCCAAGGUGGAGCUGUACGAGGUCCAGCACCAGAUAAUGCAGACCCUUAACGAGUUUGGCGCCUGCGGCAACGCCCUGAAGUUGCUUGUCCAAAAUUACAGCUACAUGCUGAACUCCACAGCCUCGCCCAAUGCGGAGGCGGCCUUCAAGUGUCUGAUCGAAGAGAAGGCCACCAUCGUGAUCACAGUGCGUCGCAGCUUCAUGUACUACGAGUCGCUGUACGAGAUGGUCUUCCACGAGCUUAAGAACUGGCGCCGCCAGCAGGCUCUUGCCGGAAACGGGGCUCCGUUCAAUGAGGGAGCCCUCGAUGAUAUUCAGCGCUGCUUCGAGAUGCUGGAGACAUUUGUUGCCCAUCUGCUGGCCGCCAUUAAGGAGAUAAUGCGCGUCCGCCUGGUCAGCGAGGAGCCCGAGCUGACACACCUCCAUGAACAGAUCCAGCUCUCGCAGAAGAAUCUGGUUUGCUCUGCUUUCAUUGUGGACAAGCAGCCGCCGCAGGUGAUGAAGACAAACACACGCUUUGCAGCCUCAGUGCGCUGGCUCAUUGGAUCCACACUGGGCAUCCACAACAAUCCACCCACUGUGGAGUGCAUCAUCAUGUCAGAAAACCAAGCACAUCGUUUCGUAACUCGCGGCGCCCAGUUGGACAACAGCUUGGCCGGACAGUCGUCGGGCGAAAUUCAGAACUGCUCCAGUACCAUGGAGUACCAGCAGAACAACCACGUGUUCUCGGCCAGCUUUCGUAACAUGCAGCUAAAAAAGAUCAAGCGGGCGGAGAAGAAGGGCACGGAGAGCGUUAUGGAUGAGAAGUUCGCCCUCUUCUUUUAUGCCACCACCACGGUGAACGAUAGUCAUCAGGUCCGCGUUUGGACCCUGUCCCUGCCCGUCGUGGUGAUCGUGCACGGCAAUCAGGAGCCCCAGUCGUGGGCCACCAUCACCUGGGACAAUGCUUUUGCGGAGAUUGUCCGAGAUCCCUUUGUGACCACCGAUCGUGUCAGUUGGGCCCAGCUCUCUGUGGCGCUGAACACCAAAUUUGCAUCGAGCACACAGCGCUCGCUGACCCUCGACAACCUGGACUUCAUUUACGAGAAGCUCCAGCGUGAAGAACGGUCUGAAUAUAUAACGUGGAACCAGUUCUGCAAGGAGCCCAUGCCAGAUCGCUCCUUCACCUUCUGGGAGUGGUUCUUUGCCAUCAUGAAACUCACCAAAGACCACAUGUUGAACAUGUGGAAGGCCGGCUGCAUCAUGGGCUUCAUCAACAAGGCCAAGGCGCAAGAUGAUCUGCUGCGCUCUCCCUCUGGCAUCGGCACCUUCCUGCUCCGCUUCUCCGACAGCGAGCUUGGAGGGGUCACCAUUGCCUAUGUCAACGAAACGGGAUUGGUCACCAUGCUGGCCCCCUGGACUGCCCGUGACUUCCAGGUGCUUAACCUGGCCGAUCGCAUUCGUGAUCUUGAUGUCCUGCGCUGGCUGUAUCCCAGCGACCGCAAUGCUCUCUGCGUCGAGCGAGACACCGCCUUUGGCGAAUUCUUUUCAAAGCGUCAGGAACCCUCGCCCGGCUACAAGAAGACCACCCUGCACGUCCAGGUUUGUAACAGCAAUGGCGACAACGGCUCCACCAGCGGAACACCGCAUCACGUGCCGACGCAUGAUGGCAUGCAGAUGGGAAAUAUUGAGGAAUCAGAUUCCGAUGGCAGCGAAUACGCAGGGGAGAUUGCAAGGUUCCUGCAAGAGGCCAAUCCCAACGAUCCUGCAGUGAGCGCGAUCAAUGAUACCAUAAUGAUGUGCUCCCCGAGGCACAUAACGAUGAGCUCCUAAGGAGCAGCAGAGCAUACAGACUGUUGAUUCGGUUCGGUCACUUACCGAAAGUGGCGACUUUGGGAUAGCGGACUUCGAUUCAAUGACGAACUUUGAGGUAUAUAACUAAACUAACUAUAAACUAUGUAGGAACGAAAUCGUAUAAGCGCCCGAAGAAGGUGUGUUGGCACCGCUAUCAUGGAAGUGGAUCGUAAACAGCGAUUGGAACACACCGCCGCGAUCUGGCGUGACUCAUUUGUGCUAUUCGAAAUUAUUAUUUUAUGUUAUCUAGAUGUAAUUAUUAGAAAUUGGAAUGCAUCGUAGAGGCAGGUUUUGUUUGCUUUUGUGAAACGCCUACAACAAUACCAACAACAAUAAUACGAUCUAGCAGAGCAAUGCAUGCAACACACAGAACACCACCCAGAACACUGUCUAUAUCGUGAACUAUGAUUGUGUGUCCGGGCCUGGUCUGACUUGAGCAGAAUUUAGCACUUUCUGUUAUGUAUAAACCCUUUGGAAUGUGUCCGCAUGUUAUUCGUUUUAUAUUUUUAUAUAUACGUACCAUCUAUAUAUAUAUAUAUCUGUAUACUUUGAUUUUUUGUACCACUCACUGCUGGUGAGAAAGCAUUACUUUUAGACAAUGAAUCGGUUUAGUUAGUGAGUAACUAUUUGUUGAAUCUAAAUUUUUUUUAAUUUUGAUUUUAAUUUUAAACGACUAAUCAUAUUUUUUGAAGUAUAAACUAAGCCUAAUUUAAGCUAUGACGACGGAGGAAAGGAAUCAAAAGGACGAGAUAGCCACACGCAGAGCUAAAUUGCGUUUACUUUAGUUUAUAGUUUAUAAGUAACAUUGUGAAUUGCUUUAUGUGAAGAACACACAACCCACUCCCCCAUCCUUUAUUGGCUUCCAAUGCUGAAAAUGCGCAAAAAAUUUAAGAAAUCUAUGUUUGUAUAUUUUGUUUAUCUUACAACGUGAAUUUAAACCAUUUGUUUUCGAGUCAGGGCUCUGUUUGCAAUGCAUUUUAAAUGCACCAAUCAUGCCAAUUGCCUUUUUAGUCAGUUAUCAGAGACACACUACGAUUAUUACACUAUAUAGAAAGCGUAAGCAUAAUACUUUAUGUAAACGACACACAACACUACACUCUAAGCUUUGUAUGUGAACCUUAAGAAUUUUAUAAGACUUAAGUACAGCCCCAAAAUAAAUUCAAUAAAAAAGAAA